UACCGGCGGCUCGAGUGGUGGCCGAUAUUAUUGAGUCUAAAGGGUCCGUAGCCGGCUUCGUAAGUCCCCCGGGAAAUCCGGCGGCCCAACCGUCGGGCGCCCGUGGGAUACUGCGUUGCUUGGGACUGGGAGAGGUGGGAGGUACUCGGGGGGUAGGGGUGAAAUCCUGUAAUCCUCCGGGGACCACCGGUGGCGAAGGCGUCCCACCAGAACAGGUCCGACGGUGAGGGACGAAAGCUAGGGGC
rnacentral:rRNA from 1 species